UAACAAAGUGUUUCUAGAGGAACACGUGGAAGGAUCAUUGUCG
rnacentral:rRNA from 1 species